AUUUUCUUCGUGGCAGAUACCCUGGCAAUUGCCCCAUAACGACAUACCCAGCGAUUACUCGGCGAUGUCAGAGGCCGCGAUCAACAGCUACCGAACGUUGCAAUUGCCUUGGAGAGGCAAAGCGGUGGCGGCGGAACAAGGGAGCAGAUGGAUCACAACAGACUCGGAGUAUAUCGUGUUGGAGAUCUGAACACACAAGAUAGGAGCAACGAGCGAAAGAAGGCAACGGCUCUUCAAUACCUUUUUUUUUUCCUUGAUAACGUCCACACAUGUGGCAUACUAGACAUCCGUCCACACUCCGUGUGUGGCGUGAGCAGGAGGCAGCCCACAUGGGCUGUGUGUGGGCGAACAUUAGAAUUGCCACACGUAUGGGCGCAGCUACUUCGUGUCACACGCCCAACAAGUACUACUCAUCCCCACCCUGUGCGUGUGGCGCGAAGCAAAUAUGCCCACACGUCCUAGCGCAACUAUGUUAGGUACCCGCGGGAUGAAGAUUUAGUUGCCAUCCGGGAUGGCAAAUAUAGUUGUAAAAGUAUGGUAACUCUCUCUGUUUUGGUUAACUAUAAUUGUCAUGUCUAAUUUAUGGUAGUUGCCGCGUGUAAUCAAACCAUAGUUGCCGUGUGUGA